GCGGGGCCUGGGAGGGGGGAAGACGCAGGAUCAGCGGCAGCGCGAACCCACAGCCCUGCAGGGUCCCCGCGCCUGGGCACGGACGCGUUUCGCACAGGAGGAGGCUCUAGCGUAAGCGCCGGGAGCGCUCGGAGCCCGGGCCAUCUCGAGACACCUGAGGGCCUGGGGGCUGAGCCAGGGACGCUUUGUCUUCGCGUCUGAAUGACGGAUUGACGGCCGUUUGCAGCGGCUCUGAAGCGAGUGCGGACGGUCUUAGGACGGUUUCCCUGACGGAUGCGCUUCCGGGGGAGAACCAGGAGAGACACACAACAUCGCCUGGGGCCACCUGCCCGAAGGUGCCCGGGAACACCCACGAAAACACAGAAACCUGGGCUUCGUUAUGCAGGAGUUUUGUUCCUGAAGAUGGCAUUGCUUGCGACCUCCCUCCCCACCCCACUCCUUUCUCCGGGAACAUGAACGUCUCUGGAUUUCUCAAUCUCUGAAUUUGCCAACACCACGAAAAUUCACACCCGAUGCUUUGCAAGAGCUGCUAUUUAUAGGAGCGCUGGGUUUCAGUGGCUUCUCUCCAGAGUUGCAAAGUCACUCUCUAAUGCAGCUGUUUCAUCAGGCACCGCCCCGUGUCCUGGGCAUCUGGUCUUUUUACAUUCCUUUGGGUGCACCCAUAAUAUUCUACUGGGGGCCGGAAGAGAGAAUUUUGGGCUCCAAUUUAGCUUCAUCAUGCAGAAUCGACCUUCCUUUUACAAACUCAUCCAGCCAUCCACUCACUGUUUGUGUGAACUCAGCAAGUUACUGAACCCCCCAGGCUCAGUUUCCCCAUUUGUAAGAUGGGGCCGAGCAGCCCUUAUGACGAGUCCGGGGAAUUGUGAAGUCCCCGGUGCAUGAAUGUCACCGCGAAUGUUGGCUGUAUGAUCACCAGUCACUCAGCAGCACUUGUGUGCACCUGCAUGGGGGCCCCGGGCCCACCAGACUCGGAGGUGACCAAUCUCAGUGCUGGUGAGAAGGGCUAUGACAGGGGCCCUCCAGGGCACUGGCCCUGAGCCCACAUCCCAGGCAGCAGUUAAAGCUGCCAAGGAGAGUGAAAAAAGCCACCCAGGAGCAACCCAGGGCUGGGUCUUGAUGGGAUGAAUAGGAGUUUUCCAGGUAGAAGGUGGGGGAGAGGGACUCGUAUGCAGUGGAGUCAGGAGUCAUUCUCAGGGACAGGUGGAGUGCAGUGGUCUCUAGGAAGAGACAGGUGCCUCAUACCACAUAGAACAAUUAGUUUAAAGUGGGUUAAAGACCUAGAUGUAGAAAUUCAAACUAUAAAUCACUGAGAAGACAUGGGGUGAAUCUUUUUGAGCUUGGUUUACUUAGAUAUGACCCAAAAAGCACAGAAACAAAAGAAAAAGAUAGAUAAACUGAAUUCCUCAAAAUCAACAAAUUUUGUGCUUCAAAGGACACCAUCAAGAAAACCAAAAAACAAUCUGCAAAAUGGGAGAACAUAUUUGCAAAUCACUUGUCUAUAAGAGACUUGUAUCUGGCAUAUAUAAAGGGGGUUAUAUUACACAAAGAACAAUUGCAACUUGACAACGAAAAGACAAGCAGCUCAAUUAAAAAAUGGCAAAGGGGCCAGGCGCAGCGGCUCACGCCUGCAAUCCCAGCACUUUGGGAGGCUGAGGCGGGCGAAUCAUGAGGUCAGGAGAUCGAGACCAUCCUGGCUAACACGGUGAAACCCUGUCUCUACUAAAAAUACAAAAAAAAUUAGCCACACAUGGUGGCGGGCGCCUGUAGUCCCAGCUAUUUGGGAGGCUGAGGCAGGAGAAUGGCGUGAACCCGGGAGGCGGAGCUUGCAGUGAGCUGAGAUCGCACCACUGCACUCCAGCCUGGGUGACAGUGUGAGACUCUGUCAAAAAAAAAGCAAAGGAUAUGAGUAGACAUUUCUCCAAGCUGAUGCACAAAUGACUGAUCAACACAAAAACAUGCUCCACAUAAGUAGCCCUCAGGGAAAUGCACCCACUAGGGUGGCUACAAUCUCUAUUAAUAAUUUUGUUUAACUGGAAAACAGCAAGUGUUGGUGGGGAUGUGGAGAAAUUGGAAACUUCAUUCAUCGCUGGAGGGAAUGUAACAUGGUGCGGACACCGUGGAAAACAGUCGGGCAGUUGUUCCAAACGUUACACAGAGUUGUCACAUGACCCAGCAAUUCUGCUCCCACAUAUAUGCCCAAGAGAACUGAAAGUGUGUCCACAUUAAAAACCUGUCCACAAAUGUUCAUAGCAGCAUUAUUAAUAAUACCCCGAUGUGAAAUUAACCUACAUGUCCAUCAACUGAUGAAACAUGGGCUGCAUCCAUCCAACGGAAUAUUAUCCGGCCAUAAAAAGGAAUGACAUCGAGUUGAAGGCAGGGUCUUGAGGAGAUAUUUGCACACCCAUGUUGCAUGUUCAUUGCAGCAUCAUUCAUGAGAACUGAGAGGUGGAGGAACCCUGUGCGCUGAAAUUGGGGCUGGCCGAGCCAGGUAGGAGGUGGACAGGCUCCCUGGCGGCUCUCCAGGGACGUCCUUCAGGGACAGCUUCGAGGACGUCCCAUGAGCAGUGCCCAUGUGGUCAAGGGCUUCAGUACCCGGCAGCAGCUCUCAGCCACCUUGACCAUGAGCAAGGAGAGGACAUAUCUGGUGCCUCAAAAGAACAUCUUUGCCUAAAGCUCAUCUGGGAGAGAGAGCAAGCAGACUGCAAAUUUCUGAAACUGCUUGAACCAAGUGCAUGAAUUUGGUGCAUCCUGAAGUCCCUCUGCCCAGAGAGGGCUGCUAGUCUGUGCAUGGCAGGAUGGACCGCUGCUCUGAGUCACCUUUGCUGAGCAGCCAAGGCUGGGCUUCCCUUGGAAUUGCUUCCGGAAUGAGAUAUUCAGGGCCAGUCCUUGGCUGUAGUUUCUAGACUUCUCCUCGACAGGGCAGCUCCUUGGUGCAGCUCCUGCUGCACUGCUGGCCCCGGUCUGGCUCUCUUGGUGGCUGUGGCCACCCGUGCCAUUGCAUGGUCCUAACAGUCUCUGUGUAUAUUCAGCUUGCUUCCUGCUGUGGGGCCCCACUCCUACUGCAGAACUCAGCCCCUGGUUCAAUGCUGACCUUUGUACCCCAGUCCCUUAACUACGCAGGCAUCUUCCUGUGUGUGUGGUGUUUUGUAGGUAUACAUCUCUCUUUCAGCAGCUAGCUGAAGUAUGAUUUGCAUACAACAAGCCGCAUUUAUCUAAAGUGUUAUCAGUUGAUAUGUUUUGCCUUUUGCAAAUGACACCAAAAGCAUCACCACAAUCGAGAUAA
ensembl:lncRNA novel transcript